rnacentral:rRNA from 1 species
CGCCCAACAGCUAGCCCGCCUAAACCAACAACAACAAACCACUAUUAAUACCCCUAAAUACACGAAUAUCGUAUUAAACAAACCAUUUUUCCCCCUUAGUAUGGGCGACAGAAAAGGGACUGUGGAGCAAUAGAGAAAGUACCGCAAGGGAACGCUGAAAGAGAAAUGAAAUAACCCAGUGAAGCCUAAAGAAGCAGAGAUUUAAGCUCGUACCUUUUGCAUCAUGAUUUAGCCAGUGUAACCCAAGCAAAGAGUGCUUUAGUUUGAUAACCCGAAACUAAGUGAGCUACUCCAAGACAGCCUAUUAAUAGGGCAAACCCGUCUCUGUGGCAAAAGAGUGGGAAGAGCUUUGAGUAGAGGUGACAGACCUACCGAACCUAGUUAUAGCUGGUUGCCCGGGAAUUGGAUAGAAGUUCAGCCUCCCGGCUUCUUUCUUCACCUCAGUACUACCCCUCCUGACACCCAUAAGAAACCGCGAGAGUUAGUCAAAGGGGGUACAGCCCCUUUGAAUCAAGACACAACUUUCCCAGGAGGGUAAAGAUCAUAAUAAAUAAGGUAAAAUAUUCUGGUGGGCCUAAAAGCAGCCAUCCCUAUAGAAAGCGUUAAAGCUCAGACAUAUCACCGACCCCCUCUAUCCUGAUCAUUAAAUCUUAUCCCCCUAAUUCUACCGGGCCGUCCCAUGCAAACAUGGGAGUGACCCUGCUAAUAUGAGUAAUAAGAGAGCCUACGCCUCUCUCCUUGCACACAUGUAAAUCGGAACGGACACCCCGCCGAACCUUAACGGUCCCAAACAAAGAGGGUACUGAACAACAGACCAAACAACUAGAAAAACAUUCAAUAGACCAACCGUUAACCCUACACAGGUGUGCCACCAGGGAAAGACUAAAAGAAAGAGAAGGAACUCGGCAAACACAUGAAGCCUCGCCUGUUUACCAAAAACAUCGCCUCUUGCAAAACUGAAAAUAUAAGAGGUCCCGCCUGCCCUGUGACUAUUAGUUUAACGGCCGCGGUAUUUUGACCGUGCGAAGGUAGCGCAAUCACUUGUCUUUUAAAUGGAGACCUGUAUGAAUGGCAUAACGAGGGCUUAACUGUCUCCUCUUUCAAGUCAAUGAAAUUGAUCUUCCCGUGCAGAAGCGGGAAUAUAACCAUAAGACGAGAAGACCCUAUGAAGCUUUAGACACCAAGGCAGAUCAUGUUAAACACCCCUUAAUAAAGGACCAAACCAAAUGAGUCCUGCCCUAAUGUCUUUGGUUGGGGCGACCGCGGGGAAACAAAAAACCCCCACGUGGAAUGGGAACACCCCCUCCUACAACUAAGAGCUGCAGCUCUAGUCAACAGAAUUUCUGACCAAUAAGAUCCGGCAAUGCCGAUCAACGAACCGAGUUACUCUAGGGAUAACAGCGCAAUCCUCUUUUAGAGCCCAUAUCGACAAGGGGGUUUACGACCUCGAUGUUGGAUCAGGACAUCCUAAUGGUGCAGCCGCUAUUAAGGGUUCGUUUGUUCAACGAUUAAAGUCCUACGUGAUCUGAGUUCAGACCGGAGUAAUCCAGGUCAGUUUCUAUCUAUGAUAUGCUCUUUUCUAGUACGAAAGGACCGAAAAGAAGAGGCCUAUACCUCAAGUACGCCUCACCCCCACCUAAUGAAAACAACUAAAAUAGGCAAGAGGGCAUACCCCCCUGCCGAAGAGAACGGCAU